GACGAACGCUGGCGGCGUGCUUAACACAUGCAAGUCGAACGCUGAAGCUUGGUGCUUGCACUGGGUGGAUGAGUGGCGAACGGGUGAGUAAUACGUGAGUAACCUGCCCUUGACUCUGGGAUAAGCCUGGGAAACUGGGUCUAAUACUGGAUACGACAUGUCACCGCAUGGUGGUGUGUGGAAAGGGUUUUACUGGUUUUGGAUGGGCUCACGGCCUAUCAGCUUGUUGAUGGGGUAAUGGCUCACCAAGGCGACGACGGGUAGCCGGCCUGAGAGGGUGACCGGCCACACUGGGACUGAGACACGGCCCAGACUCCUACGGGAGGCAGCAGUGGGGAAUAUUGCACAAUGGGCGGAAGCCUGAUGCAGCGACGCCGCGUGAGGGAUGACGGCCUUCGGGUUGUAAACCUCUUUCAGCACGGAAGAAGCGAAAGUGACGGUACGUGCAGAAGAAGCGCCGGCUAACUACGUG
rnacentral:rRNA from 1 species